UAUAGGCAGGGGCCACUGCGUUCAGCUUUAAAUUCUGUUAAAAACAGCGUUGGUGAGAAAGAAAAUGUCUACUUCCUGAGAAAGACUGAUAAGAAUCUAAAAGGCAUAAUUUUCUCAUAAAAGGGCAGCUGCAUAUGUUGGCAUGAUUGAUGAGAUCUGCUACAGUCAAGCAAGCAGCCCUGGGUGACCAGUUUACCCUUCCCUGCGAGGGUUCCAGCUGCCAGUUGCCCCCAUUCUGUGACAGCUUCUCCUUCUCCUCACCUUGUCAUCCAGCCAAGAUUGUGCACUGUAGGAGUACAGGUGAGCAUCUGCCUCCAUAAUCAUUGCCAACAGCCCUCCAUUAUCAACUGCCAGGGGUGCUUCAAAGCAAUGUGGAGUUCUUUCUCUUGACACAGGGACCAAGUGUAUUUAUGCCUGAAACAAACUCUGCCUAUGCUGACUAGGGAACCUCACAUGUAAAAUGUUUUUUUUUUUUAAUUGCAUCACAAAUCACUACAGUAUUAUAAAACAGGUCGUAGCAUCCUCCAGACCUCACCACCACGACCCCCAGCAGGUAUUCUACAUUAGACUAUGUAAAGACCUUUCACUUAAAAAUAGGGAUUUUCUCCCUGGUUAUUAUAUUCUCAUAUAAAAGAAAAAAUAAAAAGCUCUGUCAAACAUU
rnacentral:lncRNA from 1 species